rnacentral:rRNA from 1 species
ACGGGAGGCAGCAGUGGGGAAUAUUGGGCAAUGGGGGCAACCCUGACCCAGCAACGCCGCGUGAAGGAAAAAGGCUUUCGGGUUGUAAACUUCUUUUAUGAGGGACGAAGGACGUGACGGUACCUCAUGAAUAAGCCACGGCUAACUACGUGCCAGCAGCCGCGGCAAUACGUAGGUGGCAAGCGUUAUCCGGAUUUACUGGGUGUAAAGGGCGCGUAGGCGGGGAUGCAAGUCAGAUGUGAAAUCUAUGGGCUUAACUCAUAAACUGCAUUUGAAACUGUAUCUCUUGAGUGCUGGAGAGGUAGACGGAAUUCCUAGUGUAGCGGUGAAAUGCGUAGAUAUUAGGUAGAACACCAGUGGCGAAGGCGGUCUACUGGACAGUAACUGACGCUGAGGCGCGAAAGCGUGGGGAGCAAACAGGAUUAGAUACCCUGGUA